rnacentral:rRNA from 1 species
GACGAGCCACCCAAACGUUAUUCGGAAUUACUGGGCUUAAAGGGUGCGUAGGCGGUGCAGCAAGUCGGGAGUGAAAUACCUCAGCUUAACUGAGGAACUGCUCUCGAUACUGCUGUGCUUGAGUGAGACGGAGGUAAGCGGAACUUAGGGUGGAGCGGUGAAAUGCGUUGAUAUCCUAAGGAACACCGGUGGCGAAGGCGGUCACCUGGACGAUAACUGACGCUGAGGCUCGAAAGCGUGGGGAGCAAACAGG